UCCCGUUCAGACUCCAUCCGCUGGAACUGGACGGGUUCAGGGGAAUACUCCAGCAAGUCUGCCUACCAUAUGCAGUUCUCUGGUUGUGUGGUGCUUUUCCGCUCUGAUAAGGUUUGGAAAGCACAAGCCACCCCCAAAUGCAAGCUCUUUGCAUGGCUUGUCCUGCAUGGAAGAUUCAUCACGGCAGAAAACCUGGCAAUCCGUGGAUGGCCACACAAUUCGAUAUGA
rnacentral:rRNA from 1 species